rnacentral:rRNA from 1 species
UGGGGAAUUUUGGACAAUGGGCGAAAGCCUGAUCCAGCAAUGCCGCGUGUGUGAAGAAGGCCUUCGGGUUGUAAAGCACUUUUGUCCGGAAAGAAAUCCUUGGCUCUAAUACAGUCGGGGGAUGACGGUACCGGAAGAAUAAGCACCGGCUAACUACGUGCCAGCAGCCGCGGUAAUACGUAGGGUGCAAGCGUUAAUCGGAAUUACUGGGCGUAAAGCGUGCGCAGGCGGUUUGCUAAGACCGAUGUGAAAUCCCCGGGCUCAACCUGGGAACUGCAUUGGUGACUGGCAGGCUAGAGUAUGGCAGAGGGGGGUAGAAUUCCACGUGUAGCAGUGAAAUGCGUAGAGAUGUGGAGGAAUACCGAUGGCGAAGGCAGCCCCCUGGGCCAAAUACUGACGCUCAUGCACGAAAGCGUGGGGAGCAAACAGGAUUAGAUACCCUGGUAGUCCACGCCCUAAACGAUGUCAACUAGUUGUUGGGGAUUCAUUUCCUUAGUAACGUAGCUAACGCGUGAAGUUGACCGCCUGGGGAGUACGGUCGCAAGAUUAAAACUUAAAUGAAUUGACGGGGUCAUAGCUGUUUCC